UCCAACGACUGGCCAAAAUGAGGCCGAG
rnacentral:sRNA from 1 species